UAACACGUGAGCAACCUGCCCUAUACAACGGGAUAACACAGAGAAAUUUGUGCUAAUACGGUAUAAGACCACAGUAUCGCAUGAUACAGGGGUAAAAGAUUUAUCGGUAUAGGAUGGGCUCGCGACCCAUUAGCUAGUUGGUGAGGUAACGGCCCACCAAGGCAACGAUGGGUAGCCGACCUGAGAGGGUGAUCGGCCACACUGGGACUGAGACACGGCCCAGACUCCUACGGGAGGCAGCAGUGGGGAAUAUUGGGCAAUGGAGGCAACUCUUACCCAGCAAUGCCGCGUGAAUGAAGAAGGUCUUCGGAUUGUAAAGUUCUUUAAUUGGGGACGAAAAAAAUGACGGUACCCAAGGAAUAAGCCCCGGCUAACUACGUGCCAGCAGCCGCGGUAAUACGUAGGGGGCAAGCGUUGUUCGGAAUGACUGGGCGUAAAGGGUGCGUAGGCGGUAUAGCAAGUUAGAAGUGAAAUACCUAGAGCUUAACUCAGGUGCUGCUUCUAAAACUGCUAGACUUGAGUGCAGUAGAGGAAAGUGGAAUUCCUAGUGUAGCGGUGGAAUGCGUAGAUAUUAGGAGGAACAUCAGUGGCGAAGGCGACUUUCUGGACUGUAACUGACGCUGAGGCACGAAAGUGUGGGGAGCAAACAGGAUUAGAUACCCUGGUAGUCCACACUGUAAACGAUGGAUACUAGGUGU
rnacentral:rRNA from 1 species